rnacentral:rRNA from 1 species
GACGGGGGGGGGGCAAGUGUUCUUCGGAAUGACUGGGCGUAAAGGGCACGUAGGCGGUGAAUCGGGUUGAAAGUGAAAGUCGCCAAAAAGUGGCGGAAUGCUCUCGAAACCAAUUCACUUGAGUGAGACAGAGGAGAGUGGAAUUUCGUGUGUAGGGGUGAAAUCCGUAGAUCUACGAAGGAACGCCAAAAGCGAAGGCACCUCUCUGGGUCCCUGCCGAUGCUGGGGUGCGAAAGCAUGGGGAGCGAACAGG